GUAGGCCAACUGAAGGGACGCCAAAAAAAAAAAAAAAAACUAUUAAAUCUGCUUCUAUAAACGAUACAGACUUAUCACUUCUAUCUGUAUCUGUUUGAUUCCAUCAAUUCUAUGAAUUUGGCAAAAGCUUAAAUGCUUAGUAAAUGUUUAAACGCCUAUAAAUGGUGUAAAGCAUGACGAGGGAUGCUCAUAAUGUUAUGAAAACUCACAAAACCAAAGAAUCAGAAAUGACCAACAUUCCGAUCCCAUUCCAUGUCCAUUACCAGCUACAGGAAUUCUUACUGCUGCCCUCCUUUAUUAUUUCCCUUAUUCUGGCCAUGGUUGUUAUCAAAUGGGUAUUUUUCACCAAUCCAAGCAAUAACAACCUUCCCCCCUCACCAUCAAAGCUGCCAAUAAUAGGUAACCUCCACCAAUUAGGAAUGACCCCACACCGCUCUCUGACGUCCUUAGCCAGGCUACACGGCCCCAUUAUGCUGCUGCAACUUGGCAGAGAACGUACCUUUGUGAUCUCGUCACCGAACUUUGCUCGUGAGAUAAUGAAAACUCACGACAUAAUAUUUGCAAACAGACCCUAUUCCAGUAUUGCUAGAAAACUUCUCUAUGAUUACAGGGACUUGUCCUGGUCCCCUUAUGGUGAAUAUUGGAGGCAAAUGAGGAGCAUUUGUGUAAUGCGGCUUCUUAGCACAAGAAGGGUACAGUCAUUUAGGUCUUUAAGAGAAGAAGAGACAAUUCAAAUGAUUGAAAAAGUAGCAUUACGAUCUUGUUCGGGUUCGUCUCCAAUUGAUUUAAGUGAAAUAUUAAUUUCGCUUACAAACAAUGUAACAUGCAGGGCUGCUUUUGGUAUGACAUGCGGUGAAGGUGAAGCUGGGGGUAAACUUAAGAAACUUUUAGAAGAACUCGGGGAAUUGUUAGGUAUGUUCUGUGUUGGGGAUUUCAUUCCAUGGCUGGCCUUUUUAGAUAAAUUAACCGGUCUGGAUGCUAGGGUGGAGAGGGUUUUCAAACAUUUGGAUAAUUUUUUGAAUUAUGUUAUUGACCAUCACAUGACUCGUCAACGUCAAGAUGUAGCAACCAAUGGUGGUGUGAUCGUGAAGGAGGAUCAAAAGGACUUCUUGGAUGUUCUUCUUGAAAUUCAAAAUGAUGGCACAAAUGGCAUUAGCAUGGCUAGAGAGAACAUGAAAGCCAUUAUCCUGGUAAGCACAUUUUGCCUAAUCAAUCCAAGCUAGCUCCAAAGGCAGAUUAUUUAUUUACAUGCAAACGCACAAGAAUCUUAAUACAAGAUCGCUAUAUAUGCUAUGAUCAAUGCGUUAUAAUCAAUUUCUUGUAGGACAUGUUUGCUGGUGGAACGGAUACCACUUACACUGCUCUAGAAUGGGCACUGACAGAGCUUAUAAAGCAUAGCAAAACUAUGAAAAAGGUGCAGGAAGAGGUGAGACGGAUUGCUGGAAGCAAAUCUUACAUUAAUGAAGAUCAUAUAGAGAAAAUGUUUUACCUCAAGGCAGUGAUAAAGGAGACUUUACGACUACACCCUCCAGUUCCAUUGCUGCUUCCGCGACAAGCAACAAAAGAUGUCCAGGUAGGAGGCUACAACAUUCCUGCCAAAUCCAGAGUUAUUAUCAAUGCGUGGGCAAUAGGGAGAGAUCCUGCUUCAUGGGAAGAACCAGAGAAAUUUAAACCUGAGAGGUUCCUGGACAACUGUUCAAGUUUCAAAGGGAAUGAUUUUCAGUUCAUUCCUUUCGGAGCUGGUAGAAGGGGGUGUCCUGGAGCUACAUUUGCUAUUGCAAUUGUUGAGCUUGUAUUGUCAAAUCUAUUGUACAAGUUUG
rnacentral:lncRNA from 1 species